CAAAGUCAACUCCGUCUUCAAUCCUUCUCCUCUUCACCCGCACCCACUUUCUCUCAAUCCUUCGUCAAUCCCCCCCACUAAAUCAACCCCAUCGGCGGCGAGCAGACCGCCGCCGUGGGGCGUUCCUCCUGGUGGGUGGGAUCCAUGGAGCAGCCUCGCCGUCGCGGACUCGUGGAUCGACGCGUUCGAUGGGUCCAUGUAAUUCGACGCAUUCAAGUUGGACUGGGCGAGCUUGAAGGCGUCGGCGCGGGGGCAUCGGCGGCGUGGUGUUGUGUCCAGAACUUAUGUUGCUUUUUUGGAGAUGGGGCACCUUCACGAGGAUCGUCAAGAGGAAAUUGACAGAGAAGACCUCUGUGGCGUGCCAUACAACAUGACGCUGCUCAACUGCCUCCUAUCAGCAUGGUAACUAGCCAGCUCCCAAUACUUGAGCUUCACAGUCUUGCAUUCUACUAGCACUAGAACUACUUGCAGCAACACAGGCUUUUGUAGUGCUCGUCAGCUGAUUUUGUGAUGUAUUUUUUGACCCCUAAACUAGAUUUGGUGGUAAAAAAAAUUAUGCAAGCCAUUUUCUUACAUACACGUAUGCUAUGUUAGCUUCUGAUAAUAGCUAUGAUUUAUUACAUCUGUGCACUGACUAUUAGUUAAUUUUAAAUAUAGCAGAAUGUAUUUUUCCUUUAAUAUAUACAUCCUAGGUAUCUGGCCUUAGCAUUUGUGCGCUCACAUGAUGUAUUUUUGGUAGACUUGUGUUUUUUUGUUUAACCAGAAGCAAGUACUGGGAUAGUUUUGCAAACCCACAGGUUGUAAAUCUGGACAAUACGUACAUCCUAAUCUGAUUGAAUUAGUAAUUUUCCAGCGCAUGGGAUGUAUUUUUUAUUUUAUUGAAGUUUUGGUCAUAUUAGAUAAUAGUGUUUAUUUCAUGAACUUUUCUUUUGAUUCAACGGGAUGUGUUUUCAUUAUUAAAUGGUGCAUAUGGGAUGUAUUAUUAUCACCAUAGGACGUAUUUUGUUUUAUUCAUGUAAGUUUUGGAGAGAUUAGACACUAGUGUUUCAUUGGCAGGAUGCAUUUUCAUUUUUAAAAUAUGCAUAUGGGAUGCAUUUAUUAUGUUCGUAGUAGACAAACAUUACCUUUUGAUAUUUUAUACAGUUUGCACGACUUCAUGUAUUACUGCAAGAAAGUAGCAGCAACUACUUCAUGUUUACAAGAUCACUCCCCUAGGUGGUCUACACUUUGAAGACCCAAUUGGUUUUGUAUAUCUGCUACAGGUUUCAGGUUAUCCUUUUGUGGUCAUUCUUCAUGAUAUGGUUCUAGAUUCUAUUCUUCAUGCUAUGAAAGUACAUGUUAUGGACAAUCCACAUGCAACCAGGGAUUUUCCCUGAUUUUUUUCUACAUGCAUCCUGGCAAAUCUACAUCCGCAUGGUCAUGCAUGUAUUUCCUGGAAUUUUCUUACGUGCAUCCUUUCUGAAUAUGAAUGGUUUUGUUCCUAUGAGUUUUCUGUAUGUUUCUGGUAUGCACCAAAAACGUCAAUUUUACAUGCAUGCCAACAUGGUUGUCUGACGUCAACUGUACUUCAGAUCGUAGAUAAUUACACGUACAUUUGGUAUGAUUUUUCCUGCAAUUUCUUUGUACAGAUGAAGAACCAUAAAUUGUUUCUUUGGGGUUGGUGGGGAAGGGCUGAUCCUGAUGCUUCAUCACCAAAUUCUACAUCUAUUAUGCAUGCAUUUGGGAGGGGAAAACGAACGUUGCCGGUGCUCCCAACGCAAAGGGCGGCGGCCAUGGAGUUAGUGGUGGUGCGGGGUGAUGGGGAAUCACACGUCCUCCAUGCUCGCGAAGCGAAGAGCAGAGUCCAUACUGGACUGAUAGUAGUGGUGCGGGUGGAGGGCAUCACACGGCAUUUGAGGCGGAAGGCGACGGAUUUACAUGGAGGUGGUGGUGUUAGUGGAGGCGACGGUGGCGUAGAAGGGGAGGCACGGUUGCAGUGGAGGAGGAUCUGGUGAUGGAGCGGCCAAUUCCUCAUCCUACCACAACGGCGAAGAGAGGCGUGCUGUCGUGGUGCGGGAGGGUGGUUUGUUUUCCCGUUUCCGAGCACAACUUCUUGGUGCACUAGGCUGCAUCAUUCGAGUUGCUCCUCCACUCGACCAAUUAACACAGGUGAGAUUUCUUCAUCAUGCUGGUGGUGUGAUCUUUGCCAUUGAUGCACAAUUUUGCUAAGAGAUGGAAUCGAUAAGAAACCUGUUGUUUCUACAUCCAAAAGUAUGGAAGGAUGUAACAAUAGUAGUGUUUGCCCCAAUUUUAGCUGUAAUUUUGAAACUGGAUGAGCUAUCUAUCUAUUUUUAAAUCCAGAUGAAAGGCUUAAGGUGUAUUUUCUCCCAGUUAUAUGAAACUGUAUGCAUUUGAAUGUAUUUUUUUUAAUCAGUUUUCUACAUCUAGGAUGUCGAAUGGAUCAAGGUGUAAAAAACAAGUAUAUUUGUGAUCCCAGUGUUAGUGCCUCUGCCUGUAAGUUUUAUCAUAUUUCUACAUCCAUCGUUGUGUAAGUUUUACAUCAUAGUUUUAGAUUACAAACUCGCUAGUAUGUGUUGUUUCUGUGAGGGGUGUAAUUUUUAUAAAUUGGAUGAAGUUUUGCUUUGUGUGGUUGUAUUUUUUUGAGGUUCUAAAAGAAAUGGAGGUUUCUAAAGUUCUAAAAGAAA